CCAAAAGUGGUUGACGCCAUGCUUUCAAGAAAAGCUUCGAAAGUGAGUGAUGCUAGUAUCCGUACUAAAACUGACACAGGUAGGCGAGGAGAAAAUCCUAAGGCGCGCGAGGGAAUCCUCGUUAAGGAACUCGGCAAAUUGACCCCGUAACUUCGGGAGAAGGGGUGCCCUGUUUGGUGAAGCUCCUACGAAUGGAGCCGAAUGGGGCCGCAGGAAAGCGGUCCAAGCGACUGUUUACUAAAAACACAGGACUCUGCCAAGGCCAAAAGCCGAUGUAUAGAGUCUGACGUCUGCUCGGUGCUGGAAGGUUAAGGGAACAGGUCAGCGACCUCGGUCGCGAAGCUUCGAACCGAAGCCCCAGUUAACGGCGGCCGUAACUAUGACGGUCCUAAGGUAGCGAAGUUCCUUGUCGGGUAAGUUCCGACCUGCAUGAAUGACGACACGACUUGGGUACUGUCUCAACGAGGAGCUCGGCGAAAUUGUAGCAACGGUGAAGAUGCCGUUUACCCGCAACAAGACGGAAAGACCCCGUGAACCUUUACUAUAGCAUGGUAUUGUGUUUUGACGCAAGAUGUGUAGGAUAGGUGGGAGGCGAAGAAGAAGAGGCGCUAGCCUUUUCAGAGCCGUCAGUGAAAUACCACCCUUGUUGUGUUAGAAUUCUAACUGCGUUCUGUGAAUCCAGGCGCAAGACAGUGCUAUGUGGGUAGUUUGACUGGGGCGGUCUCCUCCUAAAAAGUAACGGAGGAGUCCAAAGGUAUCCUCAGCAUGGUUGGCAAUCAUGCAAAGAGCGUAAAGGUAGAAGGAUGCUUGACUGUGAGACUAAUGUGUCGAACAGAUACGAAAGUAGGGCUUAGUGAUCCGGUGAUACCUAGUGGUAGGGUCAUCGCUCAACAGAUAAAAGGUACUCCGGGGAUAACAGGCUGAUCGCUUCCAAGAGUUCAUAUCGACGAGGCGGUUUGGCACCUCGAUGUCGGCUCAUCGCAUCCUGGGGCUGAAGAAGGUCCCAAGGGUUUGGCUGUUCGCCAAUUAAAGCGGUACGUGAGUUGGGUUUAGACCGUCGUGAGACAGGUCGGUCCCUAUCUGCCGUGGGUGUAGGAAACUUGAGGAGGCUUAUUCCUAGUACGAGAGGAUCGGAGUGGACGGACCUCUGGUGCGCCAGUUGUUCUGCCAAGAGCAUAGCUGGGUAGCCAACGUCCGGAAAGGAUAAGCGCUGAAAGCAUAUAAGUGCGAAGCCCGCUCCAAAACCAGGUUUCCCUGAAGGGCCCAGAAAGACUACCUGGUUGAUAGGCUGGGUGUGUAAGUGCAGCAAUGCAUUGAGCUUACCAGUACUAAUCGCCCGUACGACUUAAAUCU
rnacentral:rRNA from 1 species